UGGGGAAUAUUGCACAAUGGGGGGAACCCUGAUGCAGCGACGCCGCGUGAGCGAAGAAGGUAUUCGUAUCGUAAAGCUCUGUCCUAUGGGAAGAUAAUGACGGUACCAUAGGAGGAAGCUCCGGCUAACUACGUGCCAGCAGCCGCGGUAAUACGUAGGUGGCAAGCGUUGUCCGGAUUUAUUGGGCGUAAAGCGAGCGCAGGCGGUCAAUUAAGUCUGAUGUGAAAGCCCCCGGCUCAACCGGGGAGGGUCAUUGGAAACUGGUUGACUUGAGUGCAGAAGAGGAGAGUGGAAUUCCAUGUGUAGCGGUGAAAUGCGUAGAUAUAUGGAGGAACACCAGUGGCGAAGGCGACUCUCUGGUCUGUAACUGACGCAGAGGCUCGAAAGCGUGGGUAGCAAACAGG
rnacentral:rRNA from 1 species